rnacentral:rRNA from 1 species
GACGAACGCUGGCGGCGCGCCUAACACAUGCAAGUCGAACGAGCGAGAGAGAGCUUGCUUUCUCGAGCGAGUGGCGAACGGGUGAGUAACGCGUGAGGAACCUGCCUCAAAGAGGGGGACAACAGUUGGAAACGACUGCUAAUACCGCAUAAGCCCACGGGUCGGCAUCGACCAGAGGGAAAAGGAGCAAUCCGCUUUGAGAUGGCCUCGCGUCCGAUUAGCUAGUUGGUGAGGUAACGGCCCACCAAGGCAACGAUCGGUAGCCGGACUGAGAGGUUGAACGGCCACAUUGGGACUGAGACACGGCCCAGACUCCUACGGGAGGCAGCAGUGGGGAAUAUUGCACAAUGGGGGAAACCCUGAUGCAGCGACGCCGCGUGGAGGAAGAAGGUCUUCGGAUUGUAAACUCCUGUUGUUGAGGAAGAUAAUGACGGUACUCAACAAGGAAGUGACGGCUAACUACGUGCCAGCAGCCGCGGUAAAACGUAGGUCACAAGCGUUGUCCGGAAUUACUGGGUGUAAAAGGGAGCGCAGGCGGGAAGACAAGUUGGAAGUGAAAUCCAUGGGCUCAACCCAUGAACUGCUUUCAAAACUGUUUUUCUUGAGUAGUGCAGAGGUAGGCGGAAUUCCCGGUGUAGCGGUGGAAUGCGUAGAUAUCGGGAGGAACACCAGUGGCGAAGGCGGCCUACUGGGCACCAACUGACGCUGAGGCUCGAAAGUGUGGGUAGCAAACAGGAUUAGAUACCCUGGUAGUCCACACCGUAAACGAUGAUUACUAGGUGUUGGAGGAUUGACCCCUUCAGUGCCGCAGUUAACACAAUAAGUAAUCCACCUGGGGAGUACGACCGCAAGGUUGAAACUCAAAGGAAUUGACGGGGGCCCGCACAAGCAGUGGAGUAUGUGGUUUAAUUCGACGCAACGCGAAGAACCUUACCAAGUCUUGACAUCCUGCGACGGUGCUGGAAACAGUAUUUUCCUUCGGGACGCAGAGACAGGUGGUGCAUGGUUGUCGUCAGCUCGUGUCGUGAGAUGUUGGGUUAAGUCCCGCAACGAGCGCAACCCUUAUGGUCAGUUACUACGCAAGAGGACUCUGGCCAGACUGCCGUUGACAAAACGGAGGAAGGUGGGGAUGACGUCAAAUCAUCAUGCCCUUUAUGACUUGGGCUACACACGUACUACAAUGGCGUUAAACAAAGAGAAGCAAGACCGCGAGGUGGAGCAAAACUCAGAAACAACGUCCCAGUUCGGACUGCAGGCUGCAACUCGCCUGCACGAAGUCGGAAUUGCUAGUAAUCGUGGAUCAGCAUGCCACGGUGAAUACGUUCCCGGGCCUU